UGGUACCUACGGGGGGCAGCAGUGAGGAAUAUUGGUCAAUGGGCUUACGCCUGAACCAGCCAAGUCGCGUGAGGGAAGACUGCCCUAUGGGUUGUAAACCUCUUUUGUCAGGGAGCAACGCCGGCUACGUGUAGCCGGACUGAGAGUACCUGAAGAAAAAGCAUCGGCUAACUCCGUGCCAGCAGCCGCGGUAAUACGGAGGAUGCGAGCGUUAUCCGGAUUUAUUGGGUUUAAAGGGUGCGUAGGCGGAAUGCCAAGUCAGCGGUAAAAUUGCGGGGCUCAACCCCGUCGAGCCGUUGAAACUG
rnacentral:rRNA from 1 species